AGAGCGGAGGACUGUAGUGGAUA
rnacentral:piRNA from 1 species